UGGUCGUCCAUGCAGUGCUCAACGAUGCUGAGGUCAAACAAUUUACAGAUCCAUAUGUGAAGAAGUGGCUGGUCUUGCUUAAAGAGGCUGUGUAUGAUGCGGAGGACAUAUUGGAUGAGAUCGCCACAGAGGCUUUGCGACACAAGAUGGAAGCUGCGGAGUCCCAAACCAGCACAAGUCAGGUGGGUAACAUCAUGGACAUGUCUACCUGGGUUCAUGCCCCAUUUGAAAGUCAGAGCAUAGAGUCGAGGGUGGAGAAGAUCAUUGAUACACUUGAAGAUAUGGCACGAGACAGAGCCGUCCCUGGGUUGAAAGAAGGUGUUGGCGAGAAACUGUCACAAAGGUGGCCUUCUACUUCUUUGGUGGAUGAAUCUCUUGUCUAUGGCAGGGAUGAUGAAAAACAGAAGAUGAUUGAACAGGUGUUGUCUGAUAAUGCAAGGAGGGAUGAGAUAGGUGUGAUUUCCAUAGUGGGCAUGGGCGGCCUUGGCAAGACCACACUUGCUCAGCUUCUAUAUAAUGACCCAAGGGUGAUGGAACACUUCGAUUUGAAGGCAUGGGUUUGUGUUUCCGAAGAAUUUGAUCCUAUUAGAGUUACAAAAACAAUUCUGGAGGAGAUUACUUCAUCCACUUUCGAGACAAAUAACCUAAAUCAGCUUCAAGUUAAACUGAAAGAGAGAAUUAAUACGAAGAAAUUUCUACUUGUCUUGGAUGAUGUUUGGAACGAGGACUCUAGUAACUGGGCUAUACUACAAACUCCACUCAAAGGCGGGGCAAAGGGAAGCAAGAUUGUUGUAACGACCCGCAGCACCCAUGUUGCAGCAGUUAUGCGCGCUGUUUAUUCUCAUUGUCUUGGUGAACUAUCCUCUGAAGAUUCCUGGUCUCUGUUUAGAAAACACGCAUUUGAAAAUGGAGACUCGAGUGCAUAUCCACAACUAGAAGCAAUUGGUAAGAAGAUUGCGGACAAGUGCCAAGGUUUGCCACUAGCUGUAAAAGCAGUGGGGGGCCUUUUACAUUCUGAGGUUGAAGCGAGGAAAUGGGAUGAUAUACUAAACAGCCAAAUAUGGGAUUUGUCAACUGAUACAGUUCUUCCUGCAUUGAGAUUGAGUUACAAUUAUCUGCCUUCACAUCUAAAGCAAUGUUUUGCCUAUUGCUCAAUUUUUCCCAAGGACUACGAAUUGGAGAAAGAGAAGCUAAUUUUGUUAUGGAUGGCUGAAGGUCUUUUACAAGAAUCAAAAGGCAAGAGAAGAAUGGAAGAGGUAGGUGACUUGUACUUUCAUGAGCUUUUAUCGAAGUCGUUUUUUCAAAAUUCAGUUUGGCAAAAGAAGACAAACUUUGUAAUGCAUGACCUAAUUCAUGACUUGGCUCAACUGGUGUCUGGAGAAUUUUCUGUUAGUUUGGAGGAGGGUCGGGUAUGCCAAAUCUCAUAAAAGACUCGUCAUUUAUCAUAUUUUCUAGGAAAAUAUGACACCUUUGAUAGAUAUGGAACACUUUCUGAAUUUAAGUGUUUGCGAACAUUUUUAUCAUUGGAGGGUCGCUGGUUUGCCUACUUAAGUAAUAGAGUUCUACACAAUCUAUUAUCGGAAAUUAGGUGCUUGCGGGUGUUGUGUUUGCGUGACUAUAGGAUUGUUAAUCUGCCCCAUUCAAUUGGCAAGUUACAACAUUUGCGCUACUUGGAUCUCUCUAAUACUUUGAUUGAAAAUUUGCCUACAUCAAUAUGUACUUUGUACAAUUUACAAACAUUGAUAUUGUCAAGGUGUUUGAAUCUGUAUGAAUUGCCUUCAGGAUUCGAAAUUUGAUUAAUUUGCGUUAUCUUGACAUUGAUCAUACCCCACUAAGAGAGAUGCCAAGUCAUAUUGGCCAUUUAAAAUGUUUGCAAAACUUGAGUAAUUUCAUUGUGGGGCAAAAGAGCGGGCCGGGGAUUGGAGAAUUGAAGGAACUUUCAGAUAUGAAGGGAACACUUACAAUUUCACGGUUGCAGAAUGUGAAAUGUGGCAGGGAUGCAAGAGAAGCCAAUUUGAAGGACAAGAUGUACAUGGAGAAGUUAGUGUUGGCUUGGGAUUGGAGAGCAUGUGAUAUUAUACAAGAUGGAGACAUAAUUGAUAAUCUUCGGCCACAUACAAACCUAAAGAGACUCUCUAUUAAUUGUUUUGGUGGUUCGAGAUUUCCGACAUGGGUAGCAAAUCCUUUAUUCUCUAAUCUCCAGACCCUAGCGCUUUGGGAUUGUGAAAAUUGCUUAUCAUUGCCACCACUUGGGCAGCUACCCUCUCUUGAACACUUACGGAUCUCAGGAAUGAAUGGAAUAGAGAGGGUGGGCAGUGAGUUUUAUCAUUAUGGGAAUGCUUCUUCCUCCAUUGCAGUUAAGCCUUCCUUCCCAUCCUUACAAACUCUAACAUUUGAGUGGAUGCACAAUUGGGAGAAAUGGUUGUGUUGUGGAUGCAGACGUGGAGAAUUCCCUCGUCUCCAGGAGCUUUAUAUGCGGCACUGUCCCAAACUCACUGGGAAAUUACCAAAACAGCUUCGAUCCUUGAAGAAACUUGAAAUUGCUGGAUGUCCACAGCUGCUUGUGGCUUCACUCAGAGUUCCUGCAAUCAGUGACUUGUGGAUGGGCAAUUUUGGUAAAUUGCAGUUGAAAAGGCCAUCUAGUGGCUUCACUGCUCUUCAAACCUCACACGUUAAAAUUUCAAACAUCUCUCAGUGGAAGCAACUACCAGUGGGAGUGCAUAGCCUCUCAAUUACAGAAUGUGAUUCUGUGGAGACUCUAAUAGAAGAGGAACCGCUCCAGAGCAAAACUUGUCUUCUCAAAAAAUUGGAAAUCACAAAUUGUUGUUUGUCUAGAUCCUUGCGCAGAGUUGGUUUACCCACUAAUGCAUUGGAAUUACUAAACAUCUCUCACUGUUCCAAGCUAGAGUUUCUCCUACCUGUGUUGUUGAGAUGCCACCACCCUUUCCUCGAAAAUAUAUACAUCAGAGAUAACACCUAUGAUUCUCUUUCAUUAUCCUUCUCCUUAAGCAUCUUCCCAAGAUUGCGUUGUUUUGAAAUCAGUAAGCUUCAGGGGGUUGAAUUCCUCUAUAUCUCCAUUUCAGAGGGGGAUCUCACAUCUCUUAAUUCUUUGAAUAUCUCACGGUGCCCUGAUGUUGUAUAUAUUGAAUUGUCGACUCUCGACCUAGCAAGUUAUGAGAUCUCCGGAUGCUUGAAGCUCAAGUUAUUGAAGCACACCCUCUCAACUUUGCGGUGUUUGAGGUUAUUUCAUUGUCCAGAAUUGUUGUUUCAGAGGGAUGGCUUGCCCUCCAACCUACGUGAACUUGAAAUUUCAUCCUGCGACCAACUCACAUCUCAGGUGGACUGGGGUUUGCAAAGAUUGGCCUCUCUUACAAGAUUCAAUAUCAGGGGUGGAUGCCAAGAGGUUCAUUCUCUUCCCUGGGAGUGCCUACUGCCCUCCACAAUUACCACUCUCAGAAUUGAAGGACUUCGAAACCUCAAGUCUCUAGACAGUAAGGGGCUUCAACAACUUACCUCUCUCUCAAACUUAUACAUUGGCGACUGCCCUGAGUUCCAAUCCUUUGGAGAAGAGGGGCUUCAACAUCUCACCUCCCUUAAAACAUUAUCCAUUAGCUGCUGCCCUGAGCUCAAAUCUUUAACAGAAGCAGGUCUUCAACACCUUAGCUCACUUGAAAAAUUGCUGAUCUUCGACUGCCCGAAGCUCCAAUACCUGACGAAAGAGAGACUGCCAAACUCCCUCUCUUCUCUGGUUGUUUACAAAUGCUCUUUGCUGGAAGGUCGCUGCCAAUUUGGGAAAGGCCAAGAUUGGCAGUAUGUAGCUCACAUUCCACACAUAAUCAUCAACGAUGUGUUAUACUGAUGAAGAUGGAAAUAUAUCAAUGUCAAUCAGGUACUUGUUCCAUACUCAAAAUAACUUCCUUUAAAAUAAAAAAUGAUGUGGCAAUUAUUAAGUUUAUGCUUCAAAAUUUCUUAUCAUCUCUAUAGUGCUUCCUUGUUCUCUAUAAGGUUUGGUUGAUUUGGCUAUGGUCAUAAAGGCAUGGUGCCAAGCAGCUCUCAGGAUAUUCUAAGUGACUUGGUCUUCUUGAGCCUCAAUCAUGAUUUAUGGUUAGUGAAAUAUUUUAAUUCUCUUUGAUCCUUUGUCAUGAUCUAUUAUGGAUUUGUACUUGUAGAGACUUCAUUUUCGACUUCCCGAUGGACCAACAGUGGAGACCUCACAAGUUUUUCUUAAUCAUGACUGCAUCAUUUUGUAGGUUCUCGUUUGGCUAAUACUUUCCAAUAGUUAAAGCAUUUGUGCAGUGAUGUAUAUCAUGCUUUAUGUCAAUUUACAAAAAAAUUGUUAUAAGGGAUCUUCCAGAUGGAAGGUGGAGUGAGGAAGAUGUCGUUGUUUUAGUGCCCCGACUCAUUGUUCUUAUUGAACGCAAAGUAUCUUAAUGGUACUGCCUGCUCAAAUUUUACUGAGAUUGCUCUGUUUUUGUUGGGCAAUCUGCACCUACUGGAGACAGUAUUCACUAUGGUUCUACUUGUAAGCGGGGAGAGAUCACCUGAAUGAUAGUUGAUACCACACCACCAAUUAGCCACUGUCAAAAGGCAAGGAUAUGGGAAUGCAUCUUCUUUGUUAUGUACUUAGCAGGACUUAUUUCUUUUCUUUGUUUUUUUUUGCCUAAUUUUGAUCUCAUACAGUUCUUGUUUGGUGUUUCUUAGGUCUUGGCUAUGAUCAGAAAUUUCCAUGUACACUAUGUAGCACACCCCACUUUUCAGGACCAGGAGGUCCAUUCAAGCUCUCAUUGUUCAUCUCAGGAGAGUCAGAUGUUUGUUUGAAAAGAAAAAUACCAAAGUUCAGGUGAAGGUCUAUACAUUUGAGAUUCCCAUGAAGAAUGUUGUAAUUCGAUCUAUUCAAUUUUGAGAGCUUUUGUAGUUCUGUUUGCCAUUUUGAUGUUGGUACCAUUUGAUGAGGGCGGUAGACUAUAACUCCCCCAUUCAACCUUCCAAAUUUUGUAUAGGAAAGAUGAUGUUGUAUUGACCUUAUUCACUUCUUCAUGCAAUGAAAAUUCUCCUCUCUUCAAUACUCCCAAGUCUGCUCAAGUUUUUACCUUUUCACAUUAAUGAUAUUCAUACCUGCUUUAGAGUGCGUUUGACAGUAAUUUUAGAAAAUAUUUCUAUCAUUUCUAAUACUUGAAAAAUUUUAUUUUUCAAGUAUUAGAAAUAUUAUAAACACUUCCUAGAAUCAUUGUUAAACGCAUUCUUAAUUACUAGCCGCUGACAAUCAAGCUUCAUUUAUGGGAAGACAAAAAAUGAAGGAAACUGAAUCAUAGUAGAAAAGAAACAUUUAGUUCCAACAUCAAUACUAUUAAUUUACAUCAUCCCUCUAUCCCUAUCUAUGAAAGAAUUCUUCAUAUGAAUACAUCCUUCCAUCUAAGGACCCAUGAUUGUAGUUAAAAGACACUCAUACAACACCCACUACUAUGUAGAGGAGUGCAUUGGUGAUACUACUUUGAGAUUUGAUAUUUGAAAACUUUGAGAUUGUAAUAAAUAACAAUAAAAGAAAUAAUGCAUAAAAGUAAAUAGGAAAGCUAGAGAUAAAGAGAAUUCAAACUCAAGAUCUUUAUAGUACAUAACCUUACGUAUAUCCGUUCUGCUCAAGUUCCAAUUGGGAUGAAGGUUCCACUAAUCCAAAACUUUUUAAAGCUCAAGCCUUCAAACUUUAUAUAUUUGGAUUAUGGUUCUAAGGAACUCUCUAUAGCAAAAUUUUUAAAAACAAAGUCUCCAAACUUUUCCUUCUAAAUUAUGGUUCCAAAGUACCAUCUCAAGAGAUAUCCCGCUCUUGAGCUAUUCAAGCAAUCCUACACUUGUUAAUCUUCGUAGGACUAACAAUUGAAAGAAGAUUAAUCUUUGUAUUAUACAAUUUUGAUUCAAAUAAAUACAAAGGAAGCAAUGAUAUCAAAGUGCAUCAAAUGGAUAAGUAAGAUUAUGAAUCAAGAUGCACUAAAAACCAUUAUCCCAAUGGAUAAUAAUCAAAAUUUGGUUCUUAGAGAAUUAAUAAUGAGAGUUAAAAGGUCUUUAUACAUGUAUUGUGAGUAAACUAGACAUUAGAGAUAAUUAAAGAAAUCUUAAAGUUUCGAGCAAUCACGAACUUUUUGUGUUUUUUGUUUCCCCUCACGUGUAUGUCCUCAAAUCUACGUAUACCAUUCUAUUAUUCAAAACAAAUUUUCAUAUUUCAUUUUUUUCUUAGAAGAAAAAUACUUAGUUUCUAGUUGUCUAAUAUAAGGACAUUUUGAUAUUUUUCACUUUUCAAUUUAUUGUCGUUUUUAUAUUUCUUUUUUGAGCUUGAGAUCAACAUGAAUAUCUUAAUUUUGACUUUUAACUUAUUUUAAACUAUUCUUUAAUAAUUUUUUGUCCAUAGUUUUUUACUGUACAUUAAAAUAGUGAAGAAGUUUGUAUUCCAAUUUUAUAAUAUGUAGCAACUGUGCAAAACACAUUAAAUCUACUAGCAUAGUGAAAGUGUUGAAGUAUUUUCACAUGGACAAAUCAAUUUUAUGAAUAAACUUAAUUUACAAGUAGUUAUUCAAUCACUUGAAAUAAUAAAGAGUUCAUACUACAAGGAAAAAGUUCAAUUGAAAUAAUAAAGAACCCCUAGGUUAAGAAGCUCCAUAUUUUACUACAAUUAAUAAACUUAUGGAUCAUAUAACUUGUAUAUAUAUUUUUUUGUUUUAAUUAUUUGCUAUUUUCUUUUGACAUCGGAGAUGAAUUUAUUAUUUAAUAGAAAGUUUGUUUCCCAUGGGAGAAUUUAUUGAAAUUUGAAUAAUUUUAAAAUUAUAGUAUUUUUUUAAUUUUAAAUAGAACUCGUGAUUUAAAAAGACGAAUUCAAUGUAAAAGUGAACUCAUAUGUUAAAAAGAUGAGCUCAUAUUUUUUACAUUUUCAAUAUAAAAAGUUUUAAAAUAAAAAAUAUACAAAAAGUGAAUUCGUCUUUUUAAAAGACAAGUUCAAUAUAAAAGAAGAAUUCGUCUCUUAAGAAAACGAGUUUAGUGUAAAAAUAAAAAUAAAAAGUAAUAAAAAGUGUCGUAUUUUUGUAUUUAUUUAUUUUUAAAAAAAAAUCCCUGAAAUUUGUUACCCGAAGUGCCACGUGACAAAUCGGAUGAAAAAGAGCCACGUCACCGCUAUUAGUUGCUCACGUGCCACUCCAUAUCGGACACUUCCUCACGUGCGAAUCCUCUCAGAAAUUCAGAAUCCAUCUUCCCUGGUAAGUUAUUGAGUUAAUUUAGGCUUUAGUAUAUGAAUUAUAGCUUAAGGGCAUCCUCAAUUAUUCCAAUUUUGGUUAAUUUUCUCAAUAUUGGAGGCUCUUUCGUUUGUCGCUUCUAUUUGAGAUUUUGAAUCACUUGCGUGUGUUUGGUUGCGGAGAAAGUGUAGGAAAAAAAUAUAAAGUCAAAAUAAUAUAGAGUAUCCUGCCUUUUAUUAGGUAGUGGUCCUCAUGGAAUAGCUAGGUGAGGGUUUGAUCAAUAUAUUUUGCACAGCGUAUCUCAUUAUGGAUGAAAUUUCUUAAGCAGUGUGGGUUUGGGGUUGAAAUACUAGGUAUUUAUCUCCAAUUAAUACAAAUUUAUUACUUAUUCGAUUUCAAGUUGAAAUGCUGUUGGUCACCUUCUUGAACAAUAAAUUGGAACAAUGCAGAAAAACUUCUUUUCUCAGAUCUGUGAGUAAUAAUUAGAGCAAGAGAAACAGCUUCUCUCUCGCCCCUGCUGCCAUUGCCCCUAAUUAUAUUUCUCUUUCUUUUUCUUUUCUUUUUAUUUGUGUUUGGAUUUGGAUUUUAUAGCCUGAAACUCUCUCAUUUGUGGGUACGCCAAUUUCUGUCUUAUCUUCUUCAUUGUUUUCUCUUAAAUUUAUGUUCUUUUGAUCAAUUAGUUUGUUCUUUUGACUUGAAUUUGAUUGAUUUUAUUUGGGUUUCUUUUGAAUGGGAGCUUUGACUAUUCUGAAUUUUGUUUCUUAAUGUGAGUUUUGUCUGAGUGUUGGACUGUGCAAGUCGUUUGAUGAUACAUUCAAAUUGUACCGAAUCAGUUUGAUGAAAAACCCACAAAUUGUUGAUGGAAAACUGUGUUAUGGAGUCUUGUAUCCUUCCGUUUCAUUUUUUCACCCAAACAGGUGAAUUUCUCAUCCUUGGAUUCUAAAUCCAAAUCCGUGUUUGUGGACAAUGACCUUACAAUCAGAAAUAAGCAAAUGUGCAUGUAAACUUGCCCCUUCAUUCAUCUGCCUAUUUGUCAGGUUGUGAAACCUGAGUAGGAGAUCAUUUCUGGAACUCAUCGAUGAGUUGGGAAGUGGGUUGAGUUGUGGUUCGCUGUUUGUGGGUUCGACCAUUCUGUCUAUAUCUGUUCCUGCAUUGCUCUAGUUUAACACUAACCUUAAAGAUUUCAUGGAGACAAUGAGCGACAAAUAAUUUUCAAUAGUGUUUUGUCUCUCUAAAAUUUCAAAAGAUUUGACGUUCCAUUUGUCCAGGUACUGAAUUUAUUACAUGCUCAUACAUCAAGCUUAGACAAUGAUUGUAGAGGAUCUUGGAAUUGAAGCCAAGGAAGCGGCGGUUCGUGAGGUUGCCAAACUUUUGCCACUACCUGAACUUUUGCAGUCAAUUUCGUCAAUCAAGGCUGAUUACAUUACGCGCCAACAGGUGAUGCUUCUUUGUCCAAUUUAAUAGUCAAAAUUUCUAUUUCAAUUUGGGUUAGUUUCAAUCACAUAUGUAGGUGAGUACGUGUGUGUGUGUGUGUGUGUGUGUGUGUGCACACCUAUCCACACACAUGCAAAAUUUUGAAGUUAUGCAGGUGUUGCGUUAAGAUUAUACUGAUUGAACAAGAGAAAUUUUUGGUUUUGGGUGACUGGAAUGAGCAAUCAUCUUGGAACUCUCUAGAUACAUGGAAAUUGAAGUGUGAGAUCAGGUUGAAUGAGUUGCUAGCUUGUUUUAUUUAUGAAAGUUGAGUUCAUGUGCUAGGAAUCAGAUCUCUCAAGUUUUGCUUUCUUGGGGCUACUUCACUCUGUUUCUGAAGUGAAAGAUUUUAAGAUGCUCCCCAACAAGGAGGAGUCCAAUUAGGCUUGUAAGAGGAUUUAAAACUAGUAUGGAACUCAACUAUUCUUAGCAUCCGAUCAAUAGAGUGCUCCAUCAAUUGACAUGUAGAAUCUUUAUUGACAAUUGAUUGAGAAAGAAAAGCCUUAGAGCUAAAUUUAUGAAGGGGCUCAAUCUAUCAAUUCUCAAAUAUACUCCUAGCAUGUGUGGAGAUCCAAUUCCCUAUGCAAUGAGUUAGGGCAUUUAAAAGAUUGGUGGGGAACUAAAAACUAUCCAAGUCCUAUGUUUUCUAGGUCACUUGGUAUAGCCAAAAAAGUGUGUUGACUGAUCCUGAUGGUCUUCAAUGAUGCGUUCAAGGAUUGAGUUCAGAGCAUGCUGGAUCACAUUGGACAUCUGAGGGAACUCUGACUAACCUAACUAGAUCUUUUAAUGGAUCAUAAAAAUGCUAAAUUCCUAAUAUUUCUUAUAUUAAAUUUAUGUAAAACCUUCAAGUUGCCUUCUGAAUGUUGCUAUAUUUUUUUAAUGUCAGGCAAAUGAUGCACAACUUAGUAUGAUGGUUGCAGAGCAGGUAUACAGAAACUUCUAUUCUAAGCUUCAGGGAAAUUAUUAUGUUGUUAUUAAUGUUAUGUGGUUACUAUUAAGUCUCUUAUGUUCUUCACUUUUUUUAUGAGUCUAUGGAGCUGAAGAAUCCCAGGCACUUUAAUUUUACUACCAUAUUGAUGUGUUCUAUUGAAACAACACUCUUAAAUUCAGGUUGAACAGGUACAGGCUGGGUUGGAAUCAAUUUCCUCAUCUCAAAAGACAAUAAACCAGCUUCGUGAGAACUUUCUCUCUAUUGAGAGGUAUGUUCUGCUUAUGAUUUUCCUAGAAAAUUCUUGUUGUUUUCUAUAUGUGCAGUUAUUAGGCUUCAACUCAGUAUUAAAGCAUUCAACUUUAAGGACUAAUGUGUUUACUUGCUUUUGCCUCAGGCUAUGUCAAGAGUGCCAAAACUUAAUUGAAAAUCAUGACCAAAUAAAGCUCCUUAGCAAUGUGAGAAAUAACUUAAAUACCACACUGAAGGUGAAUGCAAUGUCUGACCUUUGUUUUCAUCAACUUUUUCUUUAUCAUGAUAUGUUUCUUGCAUACACACACACAAACAUACAUAAGUUCUUGUCUCUCUAUAUCUAUGCACAUGUUAUUGUUCAGCUGCAGCUUGCAGUCUACUAAAUAAUGUUAUCUUUUUUCUUUCUUUUUGUCUGUGUGUCGUUGUUUUCCCCCCUUUUCUUUUCCACCUAUCCAAGGCAACAGAACAAAUGUGGCAUCCUAAAAUGCUGCCAGAAGCUAUGAGCCCAAUGACCAUUAAUGUGGGGCAGAAGAGCUUUUAUCGAAGUCAUUUUUUCAAAAUUCAGUUAGGAAAAAGGAGACACUUUGUAAUGCAUGACCUUAUUCAUGACUUGGCUCAACUGGUGUCUGGAGAAUUUUUUAUGUAUGCCAAAUCUCAGAAAAGACACGUCAUUUAUCAUAUUUUCCUAGAAAAUAUAAUACAUUUGAUAGAUAUGGAACACUUUCUGAAUUUAAGUGUUUGCGAACAUUUUUAUCAUUGGAGGUUUACGGGAUUGGCUACUUAAGUAAUAGAGUUCUACACAAUCUAUUAUCAGAAAUUAGAUGCUUGCGGGUGUUGUGUUUGCAUAACUAUAGGAUUGUUUAUUUGCCCAAUUCAAUUGGCAAGUUACAACAUUUGUGCUACUUGGAUCUCUAUAAUGCUUUGCUUGAAAAAUUGCCUACAUCAAUAUGUACUUUGUACAAUUUACAAACAUUGAUAUUGUCAAGGUGUUCGAAUCUGUAUGAAUUGCCUUCAAGAAUCGAAAAUUUGAUUAAUUUGCGUUAUCUUGACAUUCUUGGUACCCCACUAAGAGGGAUGCCAAGUCAUAUUGGCCAUUUAAAAUGUUUGCAAAACUUGAGUUAUUUCAUUGUGGGGCAAAAGAACAGGUCGGGGAUUGGAGAAUUGAAGUAACUUUCAGAUAUAAAGGGAACACUUAGAAUUUCAAAGUUGCAGAAUGUGAAAUGUGGCAGGGAUGCAAGAGAAGCCAAUUUGAAGGACAAGAUGUACAUGGAGGAGUUAGUGUUGGAUUGGGAUUGGGAAGCAAGUGAUAUUAUACAAGAUGGAGACAUAAUUGAUAAUCUUCGGCCACAUACAAACCUAAAGAGACUCUCUGUUAAUCUUUUUGGUGGUUCGAGAUUUCCGACAUGGAUAGCAAAUCCUUUAUUCUCUAAUCUCCAGACCCUAAAGCUUUGGAAAUGUAAAAAUUGCUUAUCAAUACCACCACUUGGGCAGCUACCCUCUCUUGAACACUUACGGAUCUCAGGAAUGAAUGGAAUAGAGAGGGUGGGCAGUGAGUUUUAUCAUUAUGGGAAUGCUUCUUCUUCCAUUUCUGUUAAGCCUUCCUUCCCAUCCUUACAAAACAUUUGAGUGGAUGGACAAUUGGAAGAAAUGGUUGUGUUGUGGAUGCAGACGUGGAGAAUUCCCUCGUCUCCAGGAGCUUUAUAUGCGGCACUGUCCCAAACUCACUGGGAAAUUACCAAAACAGCUUCGAUCCUUGAAGAAACUUGAAAUUGUUGGAUGUCCGCAGCUGCUUGUGCCUUCACUCAAAGUCCCUGCAAUCAGUAAAUUGACGAUGGUCGAUUGUGGUAAAUUUUAGUUGAAAAGGCCAGAUAGUGGCUUCAUUGCUCUUCAAACCUCACUCGUUAAAAUUUCAAACAUCUCUCAGUGGAAGCAGCUACCAGUGGGAGUGCAUAGCCUCUCAAUUACAGAAUGUGAUUCUGUGGAGACUCUAAUAGAAGAGGAACCGCUCCAGAGCAAAACUUGUGUUCUCAAAGAUUUGCAAAUCACAAAUUGUUGUUUGUCUAGAUCCUUGCGCAGAGUUGGUUUACCCACUAAUGCAUUGGAAUCACUAGAAAUCUCUCACUGUUCCAAGCUAGAGUUUCUCCUACCUGUGUUGUUGAGAUGCCACCACCCUUUCCUUAAAUAUAUACUGAUCGGAGAUAGCACUUGUGAUUUUCUCUCAUUAUCCUUCUCCUUAAGCUUCUUCCCAAGGUUGAACCAAUUUGAAAUCUAUAAUCUUGAAGGGCUUGAAUUCCUCUCAAUUUUGAGUUCAGUGGGGGAUCCCACAUCUCUUAAUUAUUUGGAUAUCCAAGAGUGCCCUGAUAUUGUAUAUAUUGAAUUGCCGGCUCUCGACUGAGCAACUUAUGUGAUCUCCAGAUGCUUGAAGCUCAAGUUAUUGAAGCACACCCUCUCAACUUUGGAGAGUUUGAAUUUAAGAGGUUGCCCAGAAUUGUUGUUCCAGAGAGAUGGUUUGCCCUCCAACCUACGUGAACUUCUCAUUUCAUCCUGCAACCUACUCACAUCUCAGGUGGACUGGGUUUGCAAAGACUGGCCUCUCUUACAAUGUUCACAAUCAAAGGUGGAUGCCAAGACAUGGAAUCAUUCCCCGAUGAGUGCCUAUUGCCCUCCACAAUUACCACUCUCAGAAUUAAACGACUUCCAAACCUCAGGUCUCUGGACAGUAAGGGGCUUCAACAACUUACCUCCCUCUCAGACUUAGACAUCGGCAAAUGCCCUGAGUUCCAAUCCUUUGGAGAAGAGGGGCUUCAACAUCCACCUCCCUCACAACAUUAUCCAUUAGCAAUUGUUCUAAGCUCCGAUCCCUUGGAGAAGAGAGGCUUCAACAUCUCACCUCCCUCAAAUCAUUAUCCAUUAGUGGCUGCCAUGAGCUCGAAUCUUUAACAGAAGCAGGUCUUCAACGCCUUAUCUCACUUGAAAAUUUGCAGAUCUCCGAUUGCCCGAAGCUCCAAUACUUGACAAAAGAGAGGCUGCCAAACUCCCUCUCUCAUCUGUCUGUUGACAAAUGUUCUUUGCUGGAACGUUGCUGCCAAUUUGGUAAAGGCCAAGAUUGGCAGCAUAUAGCUCACAUUCCACACAUAAUCAUCAACGAUGAGUUAUACUGAUGAAGAUGGAAAUUUAUCAUUGUCAAUCAGUUACUUGUUCCAUACUCAAAAUAACUUCCUUUAAAAAAAAUAAAAAUGAUGUGGUUAUUAUUAAGUCUAGGCUUCAAAAUUUCUUAUCAUCUCUAUUGUACUUGCUGGCUCUGUGAGGUUUGAUUGAUUUGCCUAUGGUCAUAAAGGCAUGGUGCCAAGCAGCUCUCCGGGUGUUCUAAGUGACUUGCUCUUCUUGAGCCUCAAUCAUGAUUUAUGGUUAGUGAGAUAUUUUAUUUGCUUUGAUUCUUUCUCAUGACCGAUUAUGGAUUUGUACUGGUUGGUUUCUUUCAGAUGUUCCAUCAGUGGAGACCUCACUUAACAAUUAAUCUGCAAAUUACAAGUUUCUCUUAAUCAUGACUGCAUCAUUUUGUAGGUUCUAUAAGGUUGGCAUGUAUAAAGGAACAGGUAUGUUUCAUUUGGCUAAUGCUUUUUAAUAGCUAACGCAUUCAUGCAGUGAUGUAUGUCGUGUUCUAUGUCAAUUCACAAUAAAAUUGUUGUAAGGGUUCUUCCAGAUGGAACGUGGAGUGGAGAAGAUGAUGAAGUUUUAGUGCCUGUAGGCAUUAUUCUUAUUGAACACAGAGAAACUAUUCUGCUGAUACUGUAUCCUUGACAAAAACUGAUCAGGUGGCUCUGCUGUUACCAUGGAUUGACAUGCUACUUAAUGGCACGGCCUGGUCAAAUUUUAAUGAGACUACUCUGUUUUGGUUGGACAGUCUCCACUUACCAGAGAUGGUUCGCUGCGUUCUACUUGCAAACAGGGAGAGAUCACCUUAUUGAUAGUUGAUACCACACCACCAAUUAGCCACCGUGAAAAGGCAAGGAUAUGGGAAUACAUCAUCUUAGGUCUUGGCUAUGAUCAGAAAUUUCCAUGUACGGUAUGUUGCUGUUGAAAUUUCCAAGCCACACUUUUUAGGACCAUGAGGCCCAUUCAGGCUCUCAUUGUUUAUCUCAGGAGAUUCAGAUGUUUGUUUGAAAAGAAAAAUACCAAAGUUCAAGUGAAGGUUUAUACAUUUGAGAUUCCCAUGAAGAAUGUUGGUACUAUUUGAAGAGGGUGGUAGACUACCACUCCCUCAUUCAAGCUUCCAAAUUUUGUAUAGGAAAGAUGAUGUUGUAUUGACCUUCUUCACUUCUUCACUUCUUCAUGCAAUGAAAAUUUACUUCUCUUCUAUAUAUGCCCACACUCUGCUCAGGUUUUUACUUGCAUUAAUGAUACUACUCGGUCACCUUAUUGAUCCCCACAUCAACCAUUAGGCCAUUUUCAAUGGGCACACCUUCUGUUGUUUAGGUCAAAAUCUAAUGUCUGCAGUACGCUUGAUCAUGUUUGUAAAUUAGUAGUUUGAUGUCUAUGUUAAAUUUUCAAAGGAUUUAGAAUGUAUAAAUCAAACGAUUGAGAUUUUUUAAAUAUAUUCAAGAUUAAGUUACAAGGAUCAUUGUUGAAGGCGGUCACAAAUUCUCUUUUGAAUUAAUUUAUAAGUCAUCGAUAUUUUUUUCAUUACGAUAUAUUCAUGGAAUAGAAUUUCUUAUAAUUAUAAAGGUUGAAAUAUCCUAUUGCUAUAUUUUCUUUUAAGCUAUAUUUAUUUCUCCAAAAAAAAUUGAAGGAAAAUGUAAGGGAAAGAAAAAGUGAAAAAAAAAUGAUUUAAAAUUAAUAAAUUAUUCUUAUAUAUUUUUUCAAAUUCAUUUCACUUAUUUUUCUUUAUUAUAUAAAGAUUAAAUAAUUUAAAAAUAUAUAAAUUUUAAAGUAAUUUUAAUAAUUUUUUUUUUUUCAUAUUUUUAUGGUAAAACUAAAUAUAUAUAAGAAAAUCAUUUUUUUUUUAAACAUUUUCUUCUUUCGAUUAGACUUUAAGAAAAUGUAUCUUUGAUAAUUAUGAAAGUAGUUUACCGUAGUACUCUGUUUGGAGUAGUUGGUAUCAUCAAUUUCUAACAUUAAAAAAAUUAAGAAAAAAAUAUUUGUUGUUUUUGCAAAUGGAUUGCUAUAGAAUACAAUACUUGAUACAUACACACCAUCGUCCUUUAACUUCUAUUAGAAAUAACCCGAGUAAGCUUUUCUUCACCAUGUGUGGGCACUGCUGCAGGAGCCGCUUAAAGCUUAGGGACCAAGGCCCUAGCCACAACCAUACUUUUUUAAAAUUUUUUUAAAAUCCAAACUUUUAAACUCUUUAUACUUGGAUUAUGGUUUUAAGAUACCUUCUAUAAUGAAACUUUUAAAGACAGUUUCCAAAUUUUUCUCUAUGAAUUAUGGUUCCAAAAUACCCUUUCAAGAAAUACCCGACUCUUGAACCACGUGCCCAAGUGAUCCCACACUUGUCAAUCCUCAUAAGAUUUAUGAUUGAAAGAAGAUUAAUCUUUGUGUACAAUUUUGAUUCAAAUAAAUACAACAUCAUGGUGGAUAAGUAAGAUUAUGAAUCAAGGAGCACUAAAAAAAAACUCCCUACAACCAAUGGAUAAUAAUUAAUGUUAGGUUCUUGGAGAGUCAACAAUGAGAAUUAAAUGGCCUUUAUAUAUGUAUUGAAAGUAAACUAGUGAUCAUUAGAGAUAAAAACCCUGAAGUCCCAAUCGAGCAGCAACUAGUCAUUACUCAUAAGCCUAUGUUACCGUUGAAAGGUCUUUAUACAUGUAGUGGAAAUUAACAUUGUAAGGCCCUAUGUUAAUUGAUCAAUUAUUUGAUUGAAUCAGAAAGGUCAUCAUAAUUUUAUGUGUAAGCUAGAAGGGGCAUAUUGAAAGACCUCUCAUGGGCAAUUUGGUCAACGACCUGAUCAAUCGCUCAUUAACACUCCAUUGUCCUUUAGCUUCCAGUUAGUGAAAAUUUAGUAACACUAUACUUAAUGUAGUUUUAUUUCAUACCUUUUUAGAACUCUUUUAAGCUUGAAAUAAAUAAAUCAAACGUGGUUUCAAAGAGAAAAUACUUCAUCCAACUUCUAAAAAGAUUUAUUACAAUUUGAUUUUAAUUGGAUGAAAUUUGGUGAUAGCUACUUUAAUAAAAAUACGCACACAAUCAUAAUUUAGUGCACCAACAAUCUUACAAUGUAGUAUCUUAAACCUGAAUUUCAUAAACUUUUUCCUUUUAAACCCAUUUUGAUCCACUUUAAUCUUAAUGAUAUUUUCUUCUUGAUUAUAACUCAAAGGAAGUCUUCUUGUUAUAGAUAAUCUCCUUCUACAAUUGCACUUUCUCUUGUUUCUUGGAGAUGGAAAAUACACUUGAGUUUUAGCAUAUGGCUAACAAAAUUAAAAUCAUUUUUAUAAUAAUUUUAUAAUAAUUAAAGUUACUUCUAAUAAUUAAAAUCAUUUUUAAAAACCUAGAAAAAUAUUCCUUGAUAGAUAAUUUUCAAAUAAUUGUACUAAUUAAUUAUGGUGAAAAUCUUGUCAAAAUUAGUAAAUGAUCUCAUAAUCUCAACUAAUUUUAUGUAACUUUAUGGCUGACAAAACUAUAUAAUAAGCAUACAUAACCUUCAUAUUACCAUGUAAGUAUUUAUUUAUAUUGCAACAUUUUAUCAAAAAUUGAUUGAGUGUGAAAAUAAAUAAAAUGAUAACUCAAUUCAUUGAAAUGAAAUAUCAAAAUUCGUAGGAAAAAAACAUCCCUCAACUAUUAUUGAAUCCUUUAUUCAUUUAUUUAUUCAUUGUUUUUUUUGUUUUGUUUUUUGUUUUUGUUUUUGCCUUUUGUUUUUGUUUUUGUUUUUGUUUUUUCUGUUUUUUUUUUUUUUUUUUUGUGCCUUGUACAUAUUUAAUUAUUAAAAAUUUUAAAAAAAAUUUAUAAAAUAUUUCUCCCACAAAAAGGAGUUUAUGAAAGUGUUGAAAUAUGACAAUGAUCAGUAAUAUUAAAUUUGAAAAUCGUCACAACAAAAUUUCACCUACUCAAGAUAUUUGGAAAUGAAAUAAAAAAACUCUUCUAAAUUUAAAAGAUCAUUUAAUUAGGUGCUAAUGGCCAAUAAGUCUUCUAAACGGAAGUAAAUUGUAAGCUUAAUUAAAUAAGUUUUUUGGCCCUUCUUGUGGCCGGCCAUGUCCAUGCUCCUUUUCAAGCCGGCCUCCUUUGUUUUGUGUGGUUUGUCAUUUGUGAACAAUGUCAGACCUGAGGCCUUCCAUCGUCUCGAAUAAUUUAACCAGGUCUGACCCAACUUCGCUACCAAGAAACAUUGCAUUUUCUCAAUACAAACCAAUCUUUUCCAGUUUGGUGGUUUGAUUUUGGAUCGCUUGCCUUCGUUUUUCCUUGAUUCAUCACUCACUUUUCUCUACAAACGAACAGAUAUGGCUGGGGCUUUAGUUGGAGGAGCUUUCUUCUCGGCUUCUCUUCAAGUUCUAUUUGACAGGUUGGCUUCUCGCGAGGUUGUGAGCUUCAUCCAGGGGCGGAAGCUCAGCGAUGCGCUCCUGAAGAAGUUGGAAAGGAAGUUGCUGGUAGUCCAUGCAGUGCUCAACGAUGCUGAGGUCAAACAAUUUACAGAUCCAUAUGUGAAGAAGUGGCUGGUCUUGCUUAAAGAGACUGUGUAUGAUGCGGAGGACAUACUGGAUGAGAUCGCCACAGAGGCUUUGCGACACAAGAUGGAAGCUGCAGAGUCCCAAACCAGCACGAGUCAGGUGGGUAACAUCAUGGACAUGUGUACCUGGGUUCAUGCCCCAUUUGACAGUCAGAGCAUAGAGUCGAGGGUGGAGGAGAUCAUUGAUAGACUUGAAGAUAUGGCACGAGACAGAGCCGUCCUUGGGUUGAAAGAAGGUGUUGGCGAGAAACUGUCACAAAGGUGGCCUUC
rnacentral:lncRNA from 1 species